UACGUAGGGGGCAAGCGUUGUCCGGAUUUAUUGGGCGUAAAGAGCGUGUAGGCGGCCAGACAGGUCCGUUGUGAAAACUCGAGGCUCAACCUCGAGAUGUCGAUGGAAACCGUCUGGCUAGAGUCCGGAAGAGGAGUGUGGAAUUCCUGGUGUAGCGGUGAAAUGCGUAGAGAUCGGGAAGAACAUCGGUGGCGAAAGCGCUCUACUGGACCGCAACUGACACUCAGGGACGAAAGCUAGGGGAGCGAAUGGG
rnacentral:rRNA from 1 species